AAAACUCAAAGGCGAAAUGAAAGUAAAUAGUGGAAUACUUAAUAAUUUUAUAUUAUUAAAUUCCCUAUAGGGAAGAUGAAAACUAUAUAUUUAUUUAUAUAUGUUUUCCGCAUUCCCGGGGCGCUUGUUUCUCGCUUUGCGAGUCAGUGCGCACCUAGAGCGUACACGCUGAUACCCGAAAGAUGGUGAACUAUGCCUGGCCAGGACGAAGCCAGGGGAAACCCUGGUGGAGGUCCGCAGCGAUUCUGACGUGCAAAUCGAUCGUCGGAGCUGGGUAUAGGGGCGAAAGACCAAUCGAACCAUCUAGUAGCUGGUUCCCUCUGAAGUUUCCCUCAGGAUAGCUUGCACUCGGUUGAGACGAGUCUCAUCCGGUAGAGCGAAUGAUUAGAGGCAUUGGGGUCGAAACGACCUCAACCUAUUCUCAAACUCCAAAUAGAUGAGACCCCCGGCUUUCUUAAAAAUGAAGCCGUGGGAGUAGGAUCAGAGUGCAAAGUGGGCCAAU
rnacentral:rRNA from 1 species